AAUAAAAUCAUGUUAUUCAGUAUAUCUCUGUUUUCAUUUUCAUUUUACUGUUUUGUUUGCAAAAAUGACGUCCGAAUUUUUGAUAAACAUUGCAUCAUGACACAUAAGGGCUUUACAGGUACAUGCUUAAUAAACAUUUAAAAUUGCUGUAAAUUUUAAGUGCUUUGGAUCGUCUAUUCAGAACAGGUACCCUCAGGGCAUUUCCUUAAAAUCCCCUGCAGAUGAUCGUGAAU
rnacentral:lncRNA from 1 species